CAGGAUGAACGCUAGCUACAGGCUUAACACAUGCAAGUCUUGGGGCAGCAUGGUCUUAGCUUGCUAAGGCCGAUGGCGACCGGCGCACGGGUGAGUAACACGUAUCCAACCUGCCGUCUACUCUUGGACAGCCUUCUGAAAGGAAGAUUAAUACAAGAUGGCAUCAUGAGUCCGCAUGUUCACAUGAUUAAAGGUAUUCCGGUAGACGAUGGGGAUGCGUUCCAUUAGAUAGUAGGCGGGGUAACGGCCCACCUAGUCUUCGAUGGAUAGGGGUUCUGAGAGGAAGGUCCCCCACAUUGGAACUGAGACACGGUCCAAACUCCUACGGGAGGCAGCAGUGAGGAAUAUUGGUCAAUGGGCGAGAGCCUGAACCAGCCAAGUAGCGUGAAGGAUGACUGCCCUAUGGGUUGUAAACUUCUUUUAUAAAGGAAUAAAGUCGGGUAUGGAUACCCGUUUGCAUGUACUUUAUGAAUAAGGAUCGGCUAACUCCGUGCCAGCAGCCGCGGUAAUACGGAGGAUCCGAGCGUUAUCCGGAUUUAUUGGGUUUAAAGGGAGCGUAGAUGGAUGUUUAAGUCAGUUGUGAAAGUUUGCGGCUCAACCGUAAAAUUGCAGUUGAUACUGGAUAUCUUGAGUGCAGUUGAGGCAGGCGGAAUUCGUGGUGUAGCGGUGAAAUGCUUACAUAUCACGAAGAACUCCGAUUGCGAAGGCAGCCUGCUAAGCUGCAACUGACAUUGAGGCUCGAAAGUGUGGGGUAUCAAACAGGAUUAUAUACCCUGGUAGUCCACACGGUAAACGAUGAAUACUCGCUGUUUGCGAUAUACUGCAAGCGGCCAAGCGAAAGCGUUAAGUAUUCCACCUGGGGAGUACGCCGGCAACGGUGAAACUCAAAGGAAUUGACGGGGGCCCGCACAAGCGGAGGAACAUGUGGUUUAAUUCGAUGAUACGCGAGGAACCUUACCCGGGCUUAAAUUGCAGAUGAAUUACGGUGAAAGCCGUAAGCCGCAAGGCAUCUGUGAAGGUGCUGCAUGGUUGUCGUCAGCUCGUGCCGUGAGGUGUCGGCUUAAGUGCCAUAACGAGCGCAACCCUUGUUGUCAGUUACUAACAGGUUCCGCUGAGGACUCUGACAAGACUGCCAUCGUAAGAUGUGAGGAAGGUGGGGAUGACGUCAAAUCAGCACGGCCCUUACGUCCGGGGCUACACACGUGUUACAAUGGGGGGUACAGAGGGCCGCUACCACGCGAGUGGAUGCCAAUCCCCAAAACCUCUCUCAGUUCGGACUGGAGUCUGCAACCCGACUCCACGAAGCUGGAUUCGUUAGUAAUCGCGCAUCAGCCACGGCGCGGUGAGUACGUUCCCGGGCCUUGUACACACCGCCCGUCAAGCCAUGGGAGCCGGGGGUACAAGAAGUGCGUAACCGCGAGGAG
rnacentral:rRNA from 1 species